CUCGAUCUCAUUUCUAGGUCUCCAUUUCCUUCUGUAAAAUGAGGAAACUCAUACAGGAUCUGGAGUCAUCAAGGCCUAUUGUCAAGACAAAAGUCAAAAUAAUGGCUCGUGGUCCAGGAUGCAGUGGAAUAUCUCCGUGUCUCUGAUGUCUGCUCAAGCUAUGAGACCUCCACAGGGUCUGGUUUGGCUGUCUUCAUGGUGGGCUAUUGCAACAAACUAUUUUCACCGCCCAUUUUUUGGCUGAAGUCUUCACAUGAUUUUUGUAGACUUCUUCCUAACUCACCAGUGGGUUUGGUUACUCAAUCCAGCUAGGAUGGUUUGUUAUGCCAUAGUUCUCUUUAACUGUCCUGACUCAGUUUCCCUUGUCUCAGUUUUUUACUGUUCUGUCUCAAUUCCCUAAGCUGUAAAUCCCCGUCUGGUCCAUUAAGACUGAGGACCAAUUACUCUAAGGUUCUAAAUUGUUAGCACAAGCAAGAUAAACAAGAGAGUAGGCCUCCUGACUCUUUUCUGUCCUCAAGAAUUUACAAUAUCCCUCUAAAAUAUUCCAAGAUAUUUCACUGACAUUUUUAUCUCUGUGUAUUCAGAUAUCCUGUUUCUGGGUUUUUUUAGGUUUAUGGCCUCCCCUAUCCUGACAGAGGUUUUCCCGCCUUUUCCCUCUUCUUUGUCUCCAAAAGGUGCUUAAAGGUUUGAGAUUCUCCCAUUCAUUGCUGGAGGCUGGCAGCUGGAUUCUUUGGGAUGACAGUCUCCUCCAGCCCUGCGACCAACAUGGAUUCCUUGGUCCCAGUAUACUUAUCUCUGUCUGACUGGAUAAUUUGAGACAGAGUCCUGUCCAUCCAAUUUUACUCUCCCAUUAAUAAAAUAUUAAAAACUCUCUAA